GUAUCGGUUAGUAGUUUGGUUCGGUUUAGUGUGUAGGAAUAGGAUUGUAGUUUGGUCUGAUUUGUGUCUCUCGCGUUAGGUUUCCUAAAUCUGUAAAACGUUGCGUAAUGUGAUUUCUUCAUUCUAUUAGGGUUUCAUCGUUGUCUUCCUUCUUUACAAAACUCAAUCCGCCGGUUUCGCUUUUCAUGAUCUGCAAAAAUAAUUAUCUCUUUUCAUCUCUUCACCUCCUCUUUCGUUUCUCUUCACUUACCCUUUUGUUCAAUGUAUUUCUUUUAAUUCCUGAAUAAUUAUUAUUCACAUUAAACCCAUUCACAAUGUCGACGACUCUGUUUCCUUCAUCUCAAAUCUAUAAAUAUGAGCGGGUUGAGAUUUGGAUGGAUCUUCAGAACCAGGGGGUCUAGGUUCCUGCUUUUUUUUUUUGAUAAGCAAAGGUUCCUGUUUUGAAAGAAACGGUAUCUCUUUUGAUAUUUUAUCGUCAUCUCAAAGAUGGCUGACAAGAAGAUUAAGAUUGGAAUCAACGGUUUCGGAAGAAUGGUGGCUAGAGUGAUCCUUCAGCGGAAUGAUGUUGAGCUCGGCGCUGUUGACGAUCCCUUCAUCACCACCGAGUACAUGACGUAAAAGUUUAAGUACGCCAGUGUUCACGGUCAGUGUAAGCACAAUGAACUCAAGUUGAAAGAUGAGAAAACACUCCUCUUGGGUGAGAAGCCAGUUAUUGUUUUUUGCAUCAGGUACUGUGUUGAGCUCGCUGUUGAAGAUCUCAAGGACGGUGCAACAUUUUUUGUUUUUGACACGGAGAUAAUGGAACCGACCAAAAAAAGAUGCAGCCUCACUGUCUCGAGGAGGCUACUAACGGUGGAGUCUCGGAGCUCCCAUACUGUCUAGAAGAACUUGUUGGCACGCGAUGCUUCUUUCAGAUUCAGACUAACAGAGAAUAAGCUAAGCUUUGCUCGGUUAACAAUCUCAACGGGGUGAUCUGAAAUAACACUUAGUCCUAUUACUUUUAAGGUGAAUGCAGCAGCACAGAGUCACAAGCUGUAGGCCAAAAUGAGCAACCACCUGUUCUGGCAGAAACCCAGAGGAUAUGGCUACAAAAGUGAUGGUUGUGGAUCAACCAACACCACCCAGUAUCGGAGACAAAUAGAAAGUUGGAAGGGUAGCGAGCCGUCAUUCCCACUUAAGAUUUCUUUCGUUAGAAACUUUAAGCCAUAUCAAUUUCCUCUGUUUUUCGUUUUACAUCUUUGGCUUUUUAAAAUUUUCUGCAAACAAACUCCAACUAGGGGCAAUGUUAUUUCGAUUUUACUAAAGGGAAGCUGGCUACUUAAGUCUUUGCAAACAA